rnacentral:sRNA from 1 species
GGAUAACCUACAGAGAGAAGGCUUUGUAAACUGGAAGUGACUGGCGCGAGUGGCUUUCACUUAUACACAAACACAGCGUUUUGUCAUCUGGGAGUGCUGAAAGGAUUGUUCAUUGCUGCUGGAGGAAGAUCAUGGACUGUCCCGGGAAACUGAAGUGGUUGAGUAUCCACUAGUCGUGGAUGAGAGCAGUGACUUAGCAGUUUUUUGCGAAUUACAUAUCUCUUUGAUUAUGUUGUGACUAGUUUUGUUAGUAAACUGAGAUAGUCAUUUAGUGUUUGGGAUACCUGUUAAGCCCCUUGUCCAGGGACUGUGGUUGGAUUUAUGAAUUAUUUGGACGGUUGUCCACUUGAAAGAACUGACAGUAGCUUCAUAACAAUGUCACAAAGCUCGUUCUAAGAUUAAGCUGUUGCACCUAUAUUUCCCAUUAGUGCUUAAUUUUUGAAGUAUUAUUCUUAUUUUUAUGAAUCAAGCCCUGGAAAAGGACAAGGUAUUUGAAUGAAAUAGCACCCAUAAUGGAGAACUUUACAGUUGCUACUGCUGUGAUAGGUUUAUCUUAGUUUCAUUGUAGUAUAAAAGGAAUAGCAGGUGUUGUCAGGUACAAGGUUUGUAGUUUGCCAGUAUGUUCCUUACCAACACUGCAGAUUCCCAUUGAGUUGGUGGGGGUUUUGUUACCUUUGUUUUUUUUCUCAGCAAAAUAAUUAUAUAACUUUUUGUGACA